GGGUGGGGGGUGGUGGCGGCGGCUGAGGAGCGAGGGGUGGGGCCCAGAGGCCGGGGCAGAGGGCCGGACGCCGAGAAGGGGCCACCCCCGGGAAGGAGUGCGAGGCGCGGAAGGGCGACCAGGGAGCGUGGCCCUGCAGCGAGGGGCCGCCAGGAGUGGUGUCCUGAGGCAGAGGAAGGAGAGUUGGGGGAGCCGGGGGCUGGAGAUUCGCAGGAAGGAGCAGCCCUGAGGGGGUGGGGGGCUGUGAGGCGCGCGGGUGGGGAGGGUCGGGCGGGGUCUUCCUCCGGGGAGUUAACGAGGACUGGGCCCCCAGCGCCUGCCGGCGGGGCUCGGGGUCCCCCCGCCCCCCCGCUAGGGAGAAGACCUUGGUCGGAAGCUUGCUGUCACUCAUGCUCCCCAGGCUCGGGGGACCCCUGUGUGUAACCGCAGAUCUUGAACUCCUGCCACAUGAAAGUCAGUUCUGGGCUUUUGAGCUUGCUUCCAGGCCUCCCGCCCCGCCCUCAGGAAAUUGGGGUUUUCCUAAAGAGGAGGGAAACUUGGUGACCUCUGAAUUCCUGCCGCCCGCUCCAGCACCCCAGUAGGGCUCGGCCCCUGAACUCCAGCUUACCUGUGACUGUGUGAGCGCUGAAGUGGAAUAUGCCCUGGGCAGCCUCUCCUGCCGCCAGGCUGGCCCCAGCUGUCAGACCCACUGUUGAUUUCCCUGUAUUUGUUCAUCUUCCCCUUCAGAGAGUCUGCCUGUCCCUGCUGACCUUUACCCUACAAAAGGAAACGCCUCUUCUGACUGAUUCCCGAGAUUGGUGCUGUCUUCCUAUAAUAGAUUUUCUAAUUCUCCAA